rnacentral:rRNA from 1 species
ACGGAGGGUGCGAGCGUUGUCCGGAUUUAUUGGGUUUAAAGGGUGCGUAGGCGGCCCGCUAAGUCUUCGGUGAAACCCCCGGGCUCAACCCGGGGAGUGCCGGCGAUACUGGCGGGCUUGGAUUCUCUCUGGGCGGGCGGAAUGGAAGGUGUAGCGGUGAAAUGCAUAGAUAUCUACCAGAACGCCGAUAGCGAAGGCAGCUCGCUGGGGACGGAUCGACGCUGAGGCACGAUAGCGUGGGGAUCAAACAGGA